rnacentral:rRNA from 1 species
AUUGAACGCUGGCGGCAGGCCUAACACAUGCCAGUCGAGCGGAUGAAGGGAGCUUGCUCCUGGAUUCAGCGGCGGACGGGUGAGUAAUGCCUAGGAAUCUGCCUGGUAGUGGGGGAUAACGUCCGGAAACGGGCGCUAAUACCGCAUACGUCCUGAGGGAGAAAGGGGGGGAUCUUCGGACCUCACGCUAUCAGAUGAGCCUAGGUCGUAUUAGCUAGUUGGUGGGGUAAAGGCCUACCAAGGCGACGAUCCGUAACUGGUCUGAGAGGCUGAUCAGUCACACUGGAACUGAGACACGGUCCAGACUCCUACGGGAGGCAGCAGUGGGGAAUAUUGGACAAUGGGCGAAAGCCUGAUCCAGCAAUGCCGCGUGUGUGAAGAAGGUCUUCGGAUUGUAAAGCACUUUAAGUUGGGAGGAAGGGCAGUAAGUUAAUACCUGGCUGUUUUGACGUUACCAACAGAAUAAGCACCGGCUAACUACGUG